rnacentral:misc_RNA from 1 species
GAAGGAGAAGAAGAAGAAGAAGAAUGAAAUCAAGCCUCAUGAUUGAGUUUACAUGCUCCUACUUAGUUUUAAGCCCCAAAUACAUGGUGAAUUAUGUAUUAUGUGAGAGAAAAUUGUAUUGGCAUUAACAAUAUAUGUUAAUUGCCACAAUAUAUUCUUCUAACUAUAGAGCACAGUGCUUCCAGCAAUAAAUUGUUCAAAAACAAAUUAACUAAAUUACUUACCGACUGAUCAACUAUGG